UCAGAAAUGAAAAGGGAGACAUAACAA
rnacentral:piRNA from 2 species